rnacentral:rRNA from 1 species
UACGUAGGGUGCGAGCGUUAAUCGGAAUUACUGGGCGUAAAGCGUGCGCAGGCGGUUCGUUAUGUCCGAUGUGAAAGCCCCCGAGCUUAACUUGGGAAUGGCAUUGGAAACUGGCGGGCUGGAGUGCGGCAGAGGGGGGGUGGAAUUCCACGUGUAGCAGUGAAAUGCGUAGAGAUGUGGAGGAACACCGAUGGCGAAGGCAGCCCCCCUGGGCCGACACUGACGCUCAGGCACGAAAGCGUGGGGAGCAAACAGG